rnacentral:lncRNA from 1 species
GUGGGCGGGGCGGGAGCAAUAGGGAGGGGUGUGAGGUGGGCGGGGCGGGAACCAGAGGGCGGGGCGAGAGGUGGGCGGGAUCGGGAGCAAAAGGGAGGGGGCGCGAGGUGGGAGAGGAGCGGAGGCAAGGAGGAGGGAGGUCCCCUGGAUGGGCGUGACUAGAGCAUGCCUUUAAAAGACUUGAAAUUAUCUGGAUCCUGACAUCUUCCUUUUCGGACCUGCUGAGUCACGGAAUAUUGUCAGUGCCAGAAUGACUCAGUUCGCAGAGCCCGAGCCAAAAGAUCAUGAGUUUUAGUCUCAGAUCAGAACUACCUACAGUGCUGAUGGGACAAGCAGACAGGGGAAGGGAGGUUGCUGCAAAAAUGAUCCAGUUGAGAGCCGGGCGUGGCAACACACUGCUGUGAUUCCCAACCGGAGAUGCAAAACAGACUCACCAAGUGACCGCUCCAGGCGCAUUUUUAAAAAACUUUCGAACUUAAUGAUACAGUGAUAACAAUAAAUACGAUUUUGGCUUCAGUAGUCCUUUUAAGGCUAAGGAUAUUGGCCCGUCGGUGGUGGCACACGCCUUUAGUCCCAGCACUUGGGAGGCAGAGGCAGGUGGAUCUCUCUCUGUGAGUUCGAGACCAGCCUGGUUUACAAGAGCUAGUUCCAGGACAGCCUUCAAAGCCACAGAGAAACCCUGUCUAAAAAAAAAAAAAAAAAAAAAGAUUAAGGAUAUUGGUAUCUACAAGAUGGCUCAGUGGGUAAGGCACCUGCCACCAAGUCUGAGUUCAAUCUAUUUCCAUAACAACACCAUGGCUCUCGUGUGCCCACAUAUAUAGACACACAAAAAACUAAAUAAAUAAUGUAAUUUAAAAAAUAGAAAUAGUGGGCAUAUGAAAUAGUGAAAUAAGUAAAUGAUAGGUAAUGAUAGUUAGGGUCAGUGUUGAGUCCUAAUUAAGAAGGCCUUAAGGAUAACGGACUACUGUGAUGAGUAGGGGUUACUGUCCAGGGAACUUGUAAUACUGAACCUACCUGGGAAAGCACCCACCUGCCUAUUUGCUGAGAUGGUGGAGAUUAUGUAUGCUGAAGGUCUCUAACACUUUACCCCUAUAACUCUUUUCAGAAAGAAAACUGGGAGCUAUAAUAACAUUUUAGAUGG